CCGGCAAACGGGUGCGGAACACGUACACAACCUUCCUUUUAGUGGGGGAUAGCCCAGAGAAAUUUGGAUUAAUACCCCGUAACAUUAUUUAGUGGCAUCAUUAGAUAAUUAAAGCUCCGGCGCUAGGAGAUGGGUGUGCGUCUGAUUAGGUAGUUGGUAGGGGUAACGGCCCACCAAGCCAGCGAUCAGUAACUGGUGUGAGAGCACGACCAGUCACACGGGCACUGAGACACGGGCCCG
rnacentral:rRNA from 1 species